GGAAAGGUGCAAGAGUGGUUGAAUUGGCACGCCUGGAAAGCGUGUGUACUGGAAACGGUACCGCGGGUUCGAAUCCCGCCCUUUCCG
rnacentral:tRNA from 1 species